rnacentral:rRNA from 1 species
GACGAACCGUGCGAACGUUGUUCGGAAUCACUGGGCUUAAAGGGCGCGUAGCGGGUUGCCAAGUCCGGGGUGAAAGCCCCCAGCUCAACUGGGGAAGUGCCUUGGAUACUGGUGAUCUCGAGGGAGGUAGGGCAUGCGGAACUUCCGGUGGAGCGGUGAAAUGCGUAGAUAUCGGAAGGAACGCCGGUGGCGAAAGCGGCGUGCUGGACCUCUUCUGACGCUGAGGCGCGAAAGCUAGGGGAGCGAACGGG